rnacentral:rRNA from 1 species
GGAUGAACGCUGGCGGCGUGCCUAAUCCAUGUAAGUCGAGCGAACGGACGAGAAGCUUGCUUCUCUGAUGUUAGCGGCGGACGGGUGAGUAACACGUGGAUAACCUACCUAUAAGACUGGGAUAACUUCGGGAAACCGGAGCUAAUACCGGAUAAUAUUUUGAACCGCAUGGUUCAAAAGUGAAAGACGGUCUUGCUGUCACUUAUAGAUGGAUCCGCGCUGCAUUAGCUAGUUGGUAAGGUAACGGCUUACCAAGGCAACGAUGCAUAGCCGACCUGAGAGGGUGAUCGGCCACACUGGAACUGAGACACGGUCCAGACUCCUACGGGAGGCAGCAGUAGGGAAUCUGCCGCAAUGGGCGAAAGCCUGACGGAGCAACGCCGCGUGAGUGAUGAAGGUCUUCGGAUCGUAAAACUCUGUUAUUAGGGAAGAACAUAUGUGUAAGUAACUGUGCACAUCUUGACGGUACCUAAUCAGAAAGCCACGGCUAACUACGUG